GAUGAAGAACGCAGAGAAAUGCGAUAAGUAAUGUGAAUUGCAGAAUUCAGUGAAUCAUCGAAUCUUUGAACGCACAUUGCGCCCGCCAGUAUUCUGGCGGGCAUGCCUGUUCGAGCGUCAUUUCAACCCUCAAGCACAGCUUGGUGUUGGGACUCGCGUUAAUUCGCGUUCCCCAAAUUGAUUGGCGGUCACGUCGAGCUUCCAUAGCGUAGUAGUAAAACCCUCGUUACUGGUAAUCGUCGCGGCCACGCCGUUAAACCCCAACUUCUGAAUGUUGACCUCGGAUCAGGUAGGAAUACCCGCUGAACUUAAGCAUAUCAAUAAGCGGAGGA
rnacentral:misc_RNA from 1 species